UGCAUCUGUAUAUAGUCAGUGUUUUUAUCUGUGUAUCUGCAUGUGUGUCAGUAUAUGCAUCAGUGUGUCUGAGUAUCCAUAUGUGUCAGUGUUUGUAUAUAUGUCUCUGUAUGUGUGUCAGGUUGUGUAUCUGUGUGUCUGUAUGUGUUAGUGUGUGUAUCUGUGUCAGUCUGUAUCUGCAUGUGUGUUAGUGUGAGUGUCAG